ensembl:lncRNA
CACACUGAUUUUCCCUCUUAUCCCUAAUGCAGGUUGUAGGACCCUCUUGAGAGAGAUACCCUCCCGACACCUAGCACACAGAAGUGCCCUCAUCUCCAAAGGGAGAGGGAACCAAACAAACAGCCCUUGAUGAUUUCCCCCCAGUUUGCUAGCCUAGCUUCAACCUUUUGUUCUAUCAUGCUUUUCCCCUUUCUACUCUUCAUUAAACCUUCUAUAAGAACGCUCAGGCUUAACCUUUUUUCCAGGUCUUCAUUUUCUUGCAAAAGCACAUAUGUCCCUUAAAACUCCUAUUAAAUUAAUUUGUAUGCUUUUCUCCUGUCAACCAGUUUUUGUCAGUUUAAUUUUCAGACCCAGCCAGGGGUCAAGGGAAAAUUUUCCUUCCCCUAAAAUAUUAAAAAGGAACUCUAAUUGUAAUUUUUGAAGAAUUCUUCACUGCAAAGCCAUUUAGAUUGGAGUAUUUCUCCAAGCAAAGAACACUUUCUUCUGACCCAUGAAAGAGAAAAAGAAUGGAAAGACAGCUCAUGUUUUCCCUUGGAUUCAGAUUCAACAAACAUUUAUUAAGCAUUUAUCAUGUAUCAUGUACUGAGCUCCAUGCUGCGGAUUUCGGGAAAUCUUGACCUUACAAUCAGAGGAAAUCUGAAGACAUAUCUUGAAUUAGCUGUUGUGACUCAAAAUCAUGAGUCCUUCUAAAUGUCUGGAUUAUUACCCUGGUCCCGAGAUCUUCUUUCUCUUCAUGGUCUUUAUCAUCAACUGUGCUCUUCUUGGAUAAUUUCAUAUUUUCCUCCCCCCCAAAAAAACUUAAAUGCAAAGUACAUCAUUUGAAAUGCUGGGCUGGAUGAUUCACAAGCUGGAAUCAAGAUUGCCAGGAGAAAUAUCAACAAGCUCAGAUAUGCAGAUGAUACCACUCUAACGGCAGAAAGAGAAGAGAAACCGAAG